UCUUCCAUAACUUCUCUCCCCCGUGCGCCCCUGCCCUCCUCCGGCAGGUGUCUCGAUCCAUCAUACUUCCGGAAAAAGAGGAAAAGAUUUGGGCUUCUUGAGAAACACAAGGACUAUGUAGUUCGUGCAAAUAGGCAUGACAAUGGGACGGGGAUGAUAAGGUAAAGGACAUUCAAUAAGCACUUACUAGUAAAAGUCUGAUAAAUGGCCCCUAAGAUUUUAUCGUCUUUGUAAGGCAUGUUGUGAUGAGAGGGGAAUCACUCAUUUAAUGGAAUUUAUAUUAUAAAACGUAGCAGAGAUCAAAUCAAACAAACCUGAUAUAUUUCUAUACAAACUACUCAAUUCUAUAACGUGAGGCUUGCUUUCACAAACCUCAUUCAUUUGC